rnacentral:rRNA from 1 species
UAACCUGCCCAAGAGAUCGGGAUAACACCUGGAAACAGAUGCUAAUACCGGAUAAUAACAGAUGAUGCCUAUCAACUGUUUAAAAGAUGGUUCUGCUAUCACUCUUGGAUGGACCUGCGGUGCAUUAGCUAGUUGGUAGGGUAACGGCCUACCAAGGCGAUGAUGCAUAGCCGAGUUGAGAGACUGAUCGGCCACAUUGGGACUGAGACACGGCCCAAACUCCUACGGGAGGCAGCAGGG